rnacentral:rRNA from 1 species
GGGAGUGAAAUAGAACCUGAAACCCUGCACUUACAAGCUGUGGAAGCACAUUUCUUGUGUGACCGCGUACUUUUUGUAGAACGGGCCAACGAGUUACGUUAAGUAGCAAGGUUAAGCACUUAAGGUGCGGAGCCGUAGCGAAAGCGAGUUUUAACUGAGCGUUCAGUUACUCGACGGAGACACGAAACCGGGCGACCUACCCAUGAGCAGGAUGUGGCGAAAGUAAAAUUUCGUGGAGGUCCGCACCCACGAGCGUUGAAAAGCGCGGGGAUGACGUGUGGGUAGCGGUGAAAUUCCAAUCGAG